GACGAACGCUGGCGGCGUGCCUAAUACAUGCAAGUAGAACGCACAGUUUAUACCGUAGCUUGCUACACCAUAGACUGUGAGUUGCGAACGGGUGAGUAACGCGUAGGUAACCUGCCUGGUAGCGGGGGAUAACUAUUGGAAACGAUAGCUAAUACCGCAUAAUAUUGAUUAUUGCAUGAUAAUUAAUUGAAAGGUGCAAUUGCACCACUACCAGAUGGACCUGCGUUGUAUUAGCUAGUAGGUGAGGUAACGGCUCACCUAGGCGACGAUACAUAGCCGACCUGGGAGGGUGAUCGGCCACACUGGGACUGAGACACGGCCCAGACUCCUACGGGAGGAAGCAGUAGGGAAUCUUCGGCAAUGGACGAAAGUCUGACCGAGCAACGCCGCGUGAGUGAAGAAGGUUUUCGGAUCGUAAAGCUCGGUUGUAAGAGAAGAACGGGUGUGAGAGUGGAAAGUUCACACUGUGACGGUAUCUGACCAGAAAGGGACGGCUAACUACGUG
rnacentral:rRNA from 1 species